rnacentral:misc_RNA from 1 species
GUAUUAUAUAUAUAUUUUUUCUUUCAAUAACAAAAAAUGUGUGUAAUAAAAACAUAGACCUUUUAAAAGGUCUACACAAAGUGCACAAAAUCAAUAAUGAUCCUUCCGCAGGUUCACCUACGGAAA